rnacentral:lncRNA from 1 species
AGCUGGGUCGUACUAUGGUGUGCUGUAUUAUGGGGCUGUGUCUAUGGGGCUGAAGCUCUAUCUAUGGGCUGAGCCUCUACCUAAUAUGGGGCUUAUCUCUCUAUGGGUCCUGCCCCACACUUGUAGGGUCUGUCGACAUCCUGGUGAGGCAUGGUGAGCUGACUGCCAAGUGUAGUGUUAUGGGCUGGGGUCUAUCUAUCUAUAGGGCUGGGUUCUAUCUAUGGGGCUGAGCUGUAUCUAUGGGUCCUGCCCCACACUUGUAGGUCUGUCUGACAUCCCGGGUGAGGCCAUGGUGAAGCUGUAUUGCCCCAAGUGUUGUGUCUAUGGGGCUGGGGGCUCUAUCUAUCUAUGGGGCUGGGGGCUCUAUAUGGCUAUAACUAUCUAUGGGUCUUGCCACACUAUGUAGGUCUGGCUCUAGACAUCCGGUUGAGGCCAUGUGAGCUGUACUCAAGUGUUGUUUAUGGGGCUGGGGGCUCUAUCUAUUAUGGGGCU